rnacentral:tRNA from 1 species
UAGCCCUGUGGUGAAUUUCAUAUUGAAUUGCAAAUUCAAAGAAGCAGCUUCAAUUCUGCCGGGGCU